AAGCCCCCCCCAGGCCCUGCCCAGGGUCUCGUCGUUCACCUCGUUCCCCAGGUCCCCACAGAAGAUCCUAAAGUCGUCUGGGGGCACCCCAAGGGUCAGGGGGGCACCCCAAAGGUCAGGGGGACACCCCAAGGGUCAUGGGAACAUCCCAGAGGUCAGGGGGACACCCCAAAGGUCACCCUCAGGUCAUGGAGAGACCCCAAAGGUUACCAGAGACCCCAAAGGUCAUGGGGACACCCCAAGGGUCAGGGGGGCACCCCAAAGGUCAUGGGGGCACCCCCAAGGUCACCAGAGACCCCAAAGGUCACCAGAGACCCCAAAAUCACCCCAAAGUCACCCCCAGGUCACCAGAGACCCCAAAGUCACCCCAAAGUCACUUCACUCCUGGGUCAUGGGGACACCCCAAAGGUCACCAGAGACCCCAAAGUCCCCCCCAGGCCCUGCCCAGGGUCUCGUCGUUCACCUCGUUCCCCAGGUCCCCACAGAAGAUCCUGAAGUCGUCUGGGGGCACCCCAAAGGUCACCAGAGACCCCAAAGGUCACCAGAGACCCCAAAAUCACCCCAAAGUCACCCCCAGGUCACCAGAGACCCCAAAGUCACCCCAAAGUCACUCUUGGGUUAUGGGGACACCCCAAAGGUCACCAGAGACCCCCAAAGUCACCCCCAGAUUAUGGGAAGACCCCAAAGGUCACCAGAGACCCCAAAGUCACCCCAGAGUCACCCUUGGGUUACAGGGACACCCCAAAGGUCACCAGAGACCCCAAAGUCACCCUCAGGUCAUGGAGAGACCCCAAAGGUUACCAGAGACCCUAAAGUCACCCCCUGGUCAUGGGGACACCCCAAAGGUCAUGGGGACACCCCAAAGGUCCCUGGAGAUCCCAAAAUCACCCCAAAGUCACUCUCGGGUUACAGGGACACCCCAAAGGUCACCAGAGACCCCAAAGUCACCCCAAAGUCACCCCCAGGUCAUGGGGACACCCCAAAGGUCAUGGGGACACCCCAAAGGUCACCAGAGACUCCAAAGGUCAUGGGGACACCCCAAAGGUCACCAGAGACCCCAAAGGUCACCAGAGACCCCAAAGGUCAUGGGGACACCCCAAGGGUCAUGGGGACACCCCAAGGGUCAGGGGGACACCCCAAAGGUCCUGGGGACACCCCAAAGUCACCCCAGAGUCACCCUUGGGUUAUGGGGACACCCCAAAGGUCACCAGAGACCCCAAAGUCACCCCCAGUUCCAUCCCAGUCCCCCCAGUUCUCUCCCAGUUCUCCCAAUCCCCUCCCAGUGCUCCCAGUGCCCUCCCAGUGCCCUCCCAGUGCUCCCAGUGCCCUCCCAGUGCCCUCCCAGUACCCUCCCAGUGACCCCCCAGUGCUCCCAGUGCAGGGAUGGGGUUGGGCAGGUGCUGCCUGUGGAGUGAACUGGUGCAAACUGGUGCAAACUGGUGCAAACUGGUGACUCGCUCUUCCCC
rnacentral:lncRNA from 1 species